CAUUUUUGAGAAAUCAUUAUACUUAUUGUAUAACAGAACUUUAUAGUUCCUCAAAAACUA
rnacentral:tRNA from 1 species